rnacentral:rRNA from 1 species
UACGGGGGGGGCAAGCGUUGUUCGAAAUUACUGGGCGUAAAGGGCUCGUAGGCGGCCAACUAAGUCAGACGUGAAAUCCCUCGGCUUAACCGGGGAACUGCGUCUGAUACUGGAUGGCUUGAGUUUGGGAGAGGGAUGCGGAAUUCCAGGUGUAGCGGUGAAAUGCGUAGAUAUCUGGAGGAACACCGGUGGCGAAGGCGGCAUCCUGGACCAACACUGACGCUGAGUGAGCGAAAGCCAGGGGAGCAAACGGG